rnacentral:lncRNA from 1 species
GGACUAAUUUCGCACUAUACAGUAUUCGACAUAUUAUAAUUUUUUAAAUUAAUAUAUUAUUUGCAUUAUCUUAAUAGAAAAAUUAUAAAUUGAAAUUAAAAUAUGUUGAAAUUCUGGUAUCACUGGAAUGAUGUUUGCCCAGAUGUUCCAACAAUUACUUUAAGAAUAAUGUUGUACUUAAUGUUGGCACAUCUUACGAAACAUAAAUAAAAUGACAACAAGUGAAUAAACUACGCAGGAAAUUGUUAACCCAGUUCAGCAAACAGCCUACUCUGGGGGAUACCAAUCCAGGAAGGAAAUCAACUAAUAGUUCUAGUUACUUAGACCUCAGAGUUUACGUCUUAUAACCUAGACAUCAAUCAUGCAACUUCUAUCUAGGAACUCCUAGACAUGAGAUCCGAUCUCAUUUCCACUCAACCAACACAGACAGUGUGGUUUGUACAAUGUUCAAUAUAAUGUGGCGACAAUCUCCUAGACAAUACUUUACUCUUGCUUAAAAGCUUAUGAGUAAAUCAUACAUAGUUAACAAGAUAGAUAGGACGCUCCUCCAUUCAUAAAUAUAAUCUGAUCAAUUUUCAAUGAUCAUUAAGGAUGGAUCAGAACAUUCCAAAAGUGUUUGAAUGACUUUAGAAAAUAAAAUAAGUCAUACAGUUGUUCCAUUAAGUCCGACUUAUUUCAAGGACAUCUGAUCAUAUCAAAUCUUUAUCAAACGUGCUCCUAUGUGGAUUUCCAUAUAUAGCAGAUGCUCGUAUUAAAUGCGCGAGAUUUCUUAGCAAACAACUUGUUGUAACUAAUGUUCAAAUAUUUGGUGCAACAUCUUGCUUGUAUAUUUGUUUUAGCAAAAUGAGGCCAAUUCAAAUAUCCAACAUAUGUAAUAUAAAAUUAAUCAUUAUUCUAGUUACGAAAAUAUCUCCAUAUCAUAAAAAAAUCGCGGCAACGCCACGCCCCGUUCGUACGCACGAAUAUUAUACUAGUUUCAUAUAAAAUAUAUUAACUUCAUAGAGCCUUAUAAUUAAUUUCAUAACAAAAUAACAUAAAUAAUAUUUUGUCAAAAUCCAACAAAAUAA